rnacentral:lncRNA from 1 species
UGCCAGUGGUUGUGGGUCCCUAGGGACAGUCUCAGCCAGGCUGCUUUGACUGCAUGGAGAUAGGCUUUGAUAAUGGGUUGAACAGUGGCCAUGGUGGCCACGGUGCUCCUCAGCACCCUCUGUCUCAGGAUUGGGAUGCAGGAUCAGGAGGUGAUGGGCGGCAUUGGGAAAACCAUGAUGCAGAGUAGAGGCAUCUUUGAUACAUUCAUGACGAUGGGGAUGGGCUAACGAUGCU